ACUCAUUUAUAGCACAGUCAGUAGAGCAUGAGACCCUCAUUCACAGGGUUGUGGGUUCAAGCCCCACGUUGGGCA